AGAAGUGCCGCCGGUUUGCCAUCGAUCCCUUUGCCUUCUCUCUCUCACCAGGUUUAGGCUUUGGUUUCUCGAUGUAUUUCCGGUUCAUCUUUUUGGAGAGGUCAGCAUCAGCUACUCGGAAUUGAUUUCGUUCAAAGAAGGUAGGUCCCUCGUGGACCCUUAUAUCUUUGUUCUUUCCUUUUCCUUGUGGCUGAGGAGUGUUCUUGUUUCCGAGCUCCACUUUCGAGUACUCGGUUUCUGUGAUGCUGGCUUAAUCGGUUCCAACCGACCCGUCUUGAAACACGGACCAAGGAGUCUAACAUAUGUGCGAGUAUGCGGGUUUUACUCCUGUAUGCGCAAUGAAAGUGAGAGUAGGGAGAUUUUGGCUUUGCCAUUCUUCGCACCUACGACCGACCACGAUCUCUGAGAGAGGUUUGAGUUGGAGCAUAUCUGUUAGGACCCGAAAGAUGGUGAACUAUGCCUGAGUAGAAUGAAGUCAGGGGAAACCCUGAUGGAGGUUCGUAGCGAUACUGACGUGCAAAUCGUU
rnacentral:rRNA from 1 species